rnacentral:rRNA from 1 species
UACGUAGGCAGCAAGCGUUGUUCGGAGUUACUGGGCGUAAAGGGUGCGUAGGCGGCUGUUUAAGUUUGGUGUGAAAUCUCCCGGCUCAACCGGGAGGGUGCGCCGAAUACUGAGUGGCUAGAGUGCGGGAGAGGAAAGUGGAAUUCCUGGUGUAGCGGUGAAAUGCGUAGAUAUCAGGAGGAACACCGGUGGUGUAAACGGCUUUCUGGACCGUAACUGACGCUGAGGCACGAAAGCGUGGGUAG